UACAGGGUUUCAGAGGGAGAGCAGGAGGCCGCGUCUAUGGUUGUCGAAACUGAGUGCAAGCGCCUACUUCAGAACUUACGGCACGAGGCUCGGGUGCAGGCCGUUCAAGACUACUACGCCUCGAAGGGUAUUAGGAGGGCCAAGAAGAAGUGUCGCGGCAAGUUUCUGAGUAAGGAGAAGUAUAUGCAGGUGCCCCCGAGAGGGUUUGUGGAUAAGAUGGACUGUUGGGAGGCGUUGGUGGAUGCGUGGUGCUCUCCCGAAUGGCUAGUCGAACACCAGAGGGCCAAGGAUAAGCGCGACCAAAUGGAAGGUGUGCCACACCAUCAAGGGAGCUCCAACCUGUUUGAGUGCGGGGAUAACUGGGCGCACCAACACAAGAAGCCUGUGCCAAAUCUGUUCGACCUCUAUGGCAUGGCCCAUAUGGCCCCGUACAAGAAGGCCAAGCCAUUCACGGAGUCUGACCUAGAUCAUCCAGAGCGCUUCACCAACAUCUCCUCCCACCACAAGCUUGUGAAGUACAGAGACCAUGGGAAGGCGAGGAAAGGGGAGGACUUUAACCCGAGCCAGGAUCCUGUUGAUACAGAGCUGGUGAUGAUAUCUGGUGGCGGGAGGUCCCAUGGCUCUCAAGCCAUUGGUGAUGGACUGAUACGUUGUCCUAGGACUCUCCCGCAGAUCAAAAAGCGCCUGAGUAGCUCUGAUCCUGAGAUAACGCCUCGUGCACGGCCCGCGGAGCUCGCCAUGGCG
rnacentral:rRNA from 1 species